GAGAAAGAAAAAACAACAACAAUAACAGCAACAAAAUGUGCAGACAUGAAUCGUGUGAUUAUGAUCGUUAGUUCGACGAAACACCUGUUCGACGUACCUGCACGCAAGAACGAAAGCUGCAUCAUGUAGGAUAGUAGAUGACUCAUAACCCAGAAGAAAGACAGACGCAGACAGUGGUCAGAAACCUUGAAAUUCUUUUCGUGGAAAAACCGUGAAAAAUUUAGACUACACUUUUGGGACAAGAGAAAAAAAGAAAAGAAAAGGAGGAAAUCCUUGUGGCAUGGUUUAAAACAGGGCUGCGCAGAAUAAUUCGAAAGCUGUAUUUGCGUUGGAACCGGUAACUAUCAACGACGAGCGCACCCGGCUAUUAAAGAAUGGACUGAGGGUAAAGGGAGGAAAUAAGAGGAUAGAGGAAAAGGAUGAUGAUGAUGA
rnacentral:lncRNA from 1 species